CACGUAGUUAGCCGGUGCUUAUUCUUACGGUACCGUCAUCAGUCCUCUUUAUUAAAAAGAACCUUUUCGUUCCGUACAAAAGCAGUUUACAACCCGAAGGCCUUCUUCCUGCACGCGGCAUUGCUGGAUCAGGCUUUCGCCCAUUGUCCAAAAUUCCCCACUGCUGCCUCCCGUAGGAGUCUGGGCCGUGUCUCAGUCCCAGUGUGGCUGGUCGUCCUCUCAGACCAGCUACAGAUCGUCGACUUGGUAAGCCUUUACCCCACCAACUAUCUAAUCUGACAUCGGCCGCUCCAAUCGCGCGAGGCCCGAAGGUCCCCCGCUUUCACCCUUAGGUCGUAUGCGGUAUUAGCUGCUCUUUCGAGCAGUUAUCCCCCACGACUGGGCACGUUCCGAUGCUUUACUCACCCGUUCGCCACUCGUCAGCAUCCGAAGACCUGUUACCGUUCGACUUGCAUGUGUAAGGCAUGCCGCCAGCGUUCAAUCUGAGCCAGGAUCAAACUCU
rnacentral:rRNA from 1 species